rnacentral:lncRNA from 1 species
AGAAUCCGUUUGGGGUCUGCCAGCUCCGGAUCUGCGCGAGGUGAACACAUAAAAAGCAAAAGCCAAGUUGGAAAA